CAAAGGAGGAUUUAGUAGUAAAUU
rnacentral:piRNA from 1 species